AGGGCACGGUUGUUGCAGUGUCCUAUCCAUGUCUGUAUAUUUCACUGCCAUUCACAGCACUUCUCUUUCUCUCGGCUCAUUAAAGGGAACAGUUCAUCAACCCCAGAUCUGAAGAUAAAAUUAGCAGCUCAUGAUUCGCCAUGUAGAUUUCCUCCCACAGAAAGAAGCGGGCACAGGCAUCACGCAACCUUUGGACCCAUCUGAUCUUUAGUUAAAGCGUGACUAAGAAAGACUCGCGGUGAUGCUAACACCUGAAUUAAAGAUAUUUGCUGAGUACCUAAUAUGUUCCAGGCACCUACCAAAGUGUGUGAGUGGCACAAAAGGUUAUGAACAUUCAUAUGAGACAACAGAAGAUCCAUGGCGUCUGGGUGGCAAAACUGCUAGAGAAGUAAAGAAAACGUGAACAAUACACCUUGUCUCCGGAGGGAAAGUGGUCACACAGCAUCCCUGCAGUGGCCAAAGGCGACAGCCCAGAAGAGUGUGGCCAGUGCGAAGAGGAACCAGGCUCCCGGAGUGUCCUGUCCGGCCAGAGCGCAGCUCUGCCCAGAUCCGAUGGAGGCAAUAGUCAAAAGCGUGGCAAGAAACAAAGGUGAAACCUUACUGUGCAGGGUUUACAAGGAAAGAACAGAGCCAUUCUAAAAUGAAGGCAGGGAUAAGAGGACUGGAAUGCUCUUGUAGGAAACCCUACUUUUACACGCACAUAAAGGGUAACAUGUCUCUGUUU